rnacentral:rRNA from 1 species
GUUACUUCGGUACAUCGGUGACAGGUGGUGCAUGGUUGUCGUCAGCCCGUGUCGUGAGAUGUUGGGUUAAGUCCCGCAACGAGCGCAACCCCUAUCUUUAGUUGCCAUCAUUGAUUGGGCACUCUAAAGAGACUGACCGGUGUCAAACCGGAGGAAGGUGGGGAUGACGUCAAGUCCUCAUGGCCUUUAUGACCAGGGCUACACACGUACUACAAUGGCCGGUACAAAGGGCAGCGACACAGCGAUGUGAAGCGAAUCCCGAAAAAGCCGGUCUCAGUCCGGAUUGGAGUCUGCAACUCGACUCCAUGAAGUUGGAAUCGCUAGUAAUCGCGGAUCAGCACGCCGCGGUGAAUACGUUCCCGGGCCUU